rnacentral:tRNA from 1 species
GGAGGCGUGGCUGAGUGGUUGAAGGCACCGGUUUCGAAAACCGGCAUCGGGGUAACCUGAUCGUGAGUUCAAAUCUCACCGCCUCCGCCC